ACGGCCAUAUUACGCUGAAAUACCGGUUCUCGUAUGAUCACCGAAGUUAAGCAACGUCGAGCCUGGUUAAUACAUAAAUGGGUAACCGGUUGGAAAUACCAGAUGCUG